rnacentral:rRNA from 1 species
CGCAACCCUACGCUAUCUGUUGCCAGCAAGUAAUGUUGGGGACUCAGAUGGAACUGCCGGUGACAAACCGGAGGAAGUGGGGACGACGUCAAGUCAUCAUGGCCCUUAUGUCCUGGGCUACACACGUGCUACAAUGGCCGGUACAGAGCGCAGCGAAGCCGCGAGGCAAAGCGAAUCGCUAAAAGCCGGUCUCAGUACGGAUUGGAGUCUGAAACCCGACUCCAUGAAGUUGGAAUCGCUAGUAAUCGCGCAUCAGCAUGGCGCGGUGAAUACGUUCCCGGGCCUU